rnacentral:RNase_P_RNA from 1 species
AGCACAGACCGCCUUAUCGACUCGUCUCGUUUUUAGGAACGAGACAAGUAGGAAAGUCCGGACACCAUGGAGAAGCAUAGCGGGUAACACCCGUCGGUUUUGUCUGCAAAGGCAAGAUUAGGACAAGUGCAACAGAAAGUAUGUACAGGUAAUGCUGUAGUGAAACCAGGUAAACUCUAUGCGGUGAAAUAUCAAGUAUAUCAGCAUUUAAGGGCUUCUCGUCCGUUGUUGAAGGGUAGAUAGCUUGAUCUCGUUGGUAACAACGAGACUAGAUAAAUGAUAAGGUGACACUGAAAUUAAUUCAGUGUUAACAGAAUCCGGCUUAUAGGUCUGUUUUUUUU